rnacentral:rRNA from 1 species
UACAGAGGGUGCGAGCGUUGUCCGGAAUUACUGGGCGGAAAGGGCGCGUAGGCGGCUUGGUAAGUCGGGGGUGAAAGUCAGCGGCUCAACCGCUGGACUGCCUUCGAGACUGCCUGGCUUGAGCAUGGUAGAGGCUGGCGGAAUUCCCGGUGUAGCGGUGGAAUGCGUAGAGAUCGGGAAGAACAUCGGUGGCGAAGGCGGCCAGCUGGGCCAUUGCUGACGCUGAGGCGCGACAGCGUGGGGAGCAAACAGG